rnacentral:tRNA from 1 species
GGAGAGGUGUCCGAGUGGCUGAAGGAGCACGCUUGGAAAGCGUGUGUAUGGGUAACUGUACCGCGGGUUCGAAUCCCGCCCUCUCCGCCA